CUGUUCCACUUUUGGCCAGUCUCAGAUGCUUGUCUUCCAGAAUGUCUGCGUGUGGAUGAAUCACAACAGGAUCCUGGGAACUUUUAAGAAAGGAAAGAUUGCUUCACGUGUAAUGAAAAGCUAGUGUCCAGAAGAUCACUGCGGCCAGAUGCCAAUUUUGAUGCCCUCGUCAGUAAGACUUGUCCAAGCCCUGAUGUAUGUGAAACUCAUCAGGAGGGAAUGCUGGCAAGAAUCAGCUAACACAAUAGCAGCAAGCUUUCAGUGACAGCGUUAAGGAAGGGUGACGAUUCAGGCUGGGAGCAGGUGUAUGGGAACUGCAUAAUCACAGCCUGACCCUCUGUUUGACUACCUGAGGCGAGUGCUGAGUCAGCUGCAGGGGCACAGGUGAUGGCAGUUUGACCUGAGUGACCGUAAGGGGUGGACCCUGGCUGCAGCCCUGCUAGACCCCAUGUAAGGGCUGACUCCCAAGGAGGAAGGAUCUCUAUCUGGAGGUCACCCUUAGUGGAGCCCUUCUGCGCGCCCAGGGUACGGGUAAGCUUUUUAUGUCAUUCCUCCUUUGGAAACGCG
rnacentral:lncRNA from 1 species